GACAUGAGAAUGAAAAGGUAUGCUUUGAUCAAUGUUACAUUGCAGACAGAGAUGAAUGUGCAUACGUGCACACAUGCACGGAUAUUGUCUUAAACUCUUACAUAUGCUUUAGGCAUAUUGAUGUCACAUGGUCCUUUGUUUGUUCUGUAAAUGACAUAUGAUUCUGGUUUUACUUUGUUUCUUCUCAUGCCCGCUUUUGUUGUGUGGUUAGAAGAAUAUUUAUGUUUAUAAUUGUGGGAAAUAUUUUGCAUAUUGAAACAAA
rnacentral:misc_RNA from 1 species